rnacentral:rRNA from 1 species
AGAGUUUGAUCCUGGCUCAGGACGAACGCUGGAGGCACGCUUAAAACAUGCAAGUCGAACGAGAAGCUUUGGUGCUUGCACCGAAGUGGGAAGUGGCGAACGGGUGAGUAACACAUGAGAAACCUGCCCCGAAGAUUGGGAUAAGCCUUGGAAACGAGGUCUAAUACCGAAUACCUUCUAAUUAUCACAUGGUAAAUAGAAGAAAGCUCAGGCGCUUUGGGAUGGUCUCGUGGCCUAUCAGCUUGUUGGUGAGGUAAAAGCUCACCAAGGCAACGACGGGUAGCUGGUCUGAGAGGAUGUCCAGCCACAUUGGAACUGAGAUACGGUCCAAACUCCUACGGGAGGCAGCAGUUAGGAAUCUUGCACAAUGGGGGAAACCCUGAUGCAGCGAUGCCUCGUGCGGGAUGAAGGCCUUAGGGUUGUAAACCGCUUUCAGUUGGGAAGAAAGUGACGGUACCAACAGAAGAAGCCCCGGCCAACUAUGUGCCAGCAGCCGCGGCGAUACAUAGGGGGCGAGCGUUGUCCGGAUUUACUGGGCGUAAAGAGCUCGUAGGCGGUUUAAUAAGUCGACAAGUGAAAUCUCCAGGCUCAACCUGGAGCAGCCUUGCGAUACUAUUAUGACUUGAGUGUGGUAGAGGAGUGUGGAAUUCCCAGUGUAGCGGUGAAAUGCGCAGAUAUUGGGAGGAACACCUAUGGCGAAGGCAGCACUCUGGGCCAUUACUGACGCUGAGGAGCGAAAGCGUGGGGAGCGAACAGGAUUAGAUACCCUGGUAGUCCACGCCGUAAACGUUGGACACUAGGUGUGGGAUGCGAUCAACGCAUUCCGUGCCGAAGUUAACGCAUUAAGUGUCCCGCCUGGGGAGUACGAUCGCAAGAUUAAAACUCAAAGGAAUUGACGGGGGCCCGCACAAGCGGUGGAGUAUGUGGUUUAA